AUGUAGCUUAGUGUUAGAGCAUACUCCUAGCAUGUGUGAGGCCCUGGGUUUAAUUCCUAGCAU
rnacentral:tRNA from 1 species